AAACACAUUCCGGCACACCUGGCCAGGUGCAGCCAGCCCAGGGCCACGUCAGCUCGGCUCCGCUCCACAGCGCCGGCUCACAGCAUCUGCUCUUUGUCCGUGAUGGAGAUGGGCAGCAGUGGUGGAGCACCUGAGGCAGAGAAAGGCAGCUAAAUCCAGCAUAGGAGCUCAUCCUUUUGCCAGAUCAACGAAACACUACAGGAGAAGUUGUGAGCCUGGCUGCGCAGGGUUGGACUCAUGGAGUAGAACUGGUGACAGCUGCUGGCAUGCUGCCUGGCUGCCACAAGCUGUGGGAUCCUGUGGAGGGCCCACUCCUGACCUGAGGGACAGACACUCUGACAGCAUCCCACAAGUGCAUAUGGAGCAGCUGGAGCCAUGGGUGACAGGGAAAAACCUGGCCAGAUGUGUCUUUUUGGAGCCGGUAUCACCUUUCUCCAUUAUAAGUUUCUCCACAAAAUGUCCUCCUGUCUUCAGAAUGUACCCAGCACAGCCCAGGACAAGCAGUGAAGAUGGGGCCAUCCUGGUUUGUGUGGGUGUUAGGGGUCACCCAGCUUCUACAGAUCCUAAUAAAGAUGUGCAACAGUUUGGGACAGGGCUGGGUGCUGUGGGAUGGUCACAGGCUUAACUGUCCCUGGGGCAGGGACUGUUCAGAAGGGCACAGAGGAGCCAGGGAGGUGGCAGAGCCAUGGUAUGACCUGGUGCCACCAACUGCUGGAGAUGCACUUACCCACCCCAGAACUCUGGGCACUGCAAAGGGACCCCAUGACCAUUGUCCUGGAGGUGGAGGGACCCGGUGGGGACUGGCCUGGGCCACCCCAGGGCUCUGUGAACUCCAAGGAGACCCCGGAACAGUGCUGAUGAUGCUGGAGGUGGGGAAGGGGAGGCAGGGACCCCCACGGCCAGCAGCACUGCGGCUCGGAGAGCCAGACGCCAGGGGACAGCGCCGAUGCUGAUGCCGAUGCCAUGCAGGGAGAUGCAGGGGUCCGAGGAGAUGCUGGCCGAUCGGCGAGUCAGGAAGUGAGAUGCUGGUGGCAGGCCGGGCCCGGGCAGUCUCCAGGCAGUGUCCGAGCCCGCUCCCAGCUGGGAUGUCAGCGCCGUGUUUGCGAAGAGUUAAGGAGGCGGAAGAGGCAGGAAGCGGCCCGAACCGCUCUCCAUAGAAACCCGCGGCCGUGAUUAAAGUCUGAU